AAAGAUUUGAGUAUCGUAAGAGGACUCCCUUAACUUAAGCAUAUCAAUAAGGGAAGGAAGAAAAAAUAACAAUGAUUUCUUAAGUAAUGGCGAAUGAAAAAGAAAAAGACCAAGUUGAUAAGAAUGGAUAAUUGUAAAAGGGUUAGAAGAAUACAGCAAUGUAUGAGGCUAGUCUUAAAUUAUUCAGAGUGUAACUAAUAGAAAAGCUAUAUUUAAAAGGGAUAAUUUAAAUUGAAUUCAGAACGAAUAUUGAGCCAGAGAGAGUGAAAGCCUCGUCAAUUUAGAUAUAUCUUGAAAAGAAUAUGGUUUAGAAAAGAGUAAAUUUAUUUGGAAGUAUAAAUCGAAAAGGUGAUAGUAUUCAUCAAAGUCUAAAUAUUACAGGAAAACUGAUAGCAAAGAAGUACUGUGAAGGAAAACUUAAAAGAACUUUGGAAAAAGAGUGAAAAGAGCUUGAAAGAGUAAUAUGUGAACGGAUAAUUUAUAAGAAAAAUAGUGGAAUAUGUUAUAAAUAAAGAUGUGAAAAGAUUAGAUAUAUAAGUAGUAUAUUUAAUAAGAUUAUGUUGAAAUUUAUAAUAUAAGAAAUUAUUAAGAGCAAGAGAAUUAUUUCAUUUAUAGUGAUUAUUAAUAAACGAGGAUAUUAGGAGAAAUCUUAGUAUUCAAUUGUGAAUUAAAAGUAAAAAUCCGAUAAUAAUGGAAUGAUAAAAGCUAUUUAAGGUAAGAUUAAUAAAUUUAAUCCCGAGAAUAGAAACUCUUGAAGAAGUAAAUUAUCUACCCGUCUUGAAACACGGACCAAGGAGUCUAACAUGGAUGCGAAUGAGAAUAGCAGGAAAGCUAUAACAUGAAGAGAAAACGAAAAACUAUGAGAGUGUAGAAAUACAUUUAGCAAUAGUAUCUUUCAAUAGAAGAAGUAAAUAUGUUAGGACCCGAAAGAUGGUGAACUAUACUUGAACGGAUUGAAGCCGAAGGAAACUUUGGUGGAAGAUUCACGCAGUGUUAACGUGCAAAUUACUUGUCAUAUUUGAGUAUAGGGGCGAAAGACUCAUCGAACUAUCUAGUAGCUGGUUCCACCUGAAUAUUCCCUUAGGAAGGUCAAAGUAUUAAUAGUAUUGAUUGGUAAAGAUAAUGAUUAGGUGUAAUGGGUGAGUAUAUUCACUCAACAUCUUGUCAAACUAUGAAUAAACAAAGAAGAAUUCUCAGUGUUAAAUACACUUCAGGAAUUUAAAUAUAAACAUACUUUGAAUCGGCCAAGUCUGGUAAGCAGGACUGGCGAUGCGGGAUGAACCGAACGUCGAGAUAAAGUGCCAAAAAGAAACAUAACGAGUACCACAAAAGGUAUUCAUUCAUAUUGACAAUAGGACGGUGGCCAUGGAAGUCGGAAACCGCUAAGGAAUGUGUAACAACUCACCUAUCGAAUGAAUGAGUCCUGAAAAUGGAUGGCAUUAUAAUUUCUUAACUGAUACUCGACCGUUAAAAUGAAGACAUUUUAACGAGUAAGGAAACGAAAUGGCGUAAGGACAACAAAAGUAGUAAAGAUUUAAAGUAAUUUAGAUUGAAACUGUCCUUAGUGCAGAUCUUGGUGGUAGUAGCAAAUACUAAGAAGAGGAAAAAAACAUCUUAGAACUGAAGAGGAGAAAGGUUCCUAAACAACAUUACUUGGAUUAGGGUGAAUCGAUCCUAAAUUACAGAUGGAAAUCCUUAAGAAAUAUAUAAGUGACAUAUAGUCAAUAUAAGGAUUGAAAGGGAAUAAGAUUAAUAGUUCUUAAUCAAGAGAAUUAAUGAUUAAAUCUUAGAAAUAAGAUUAAAUCGAAUAAAAUGGUAACAUAUCAUGAACUUUAAAAUGGAGUGUGAAAAUCUACGGAAGAGUUCUCUUUUCUUCUUAACAAAAGUAAAUUCCACUGAAAUGAAUCAAUCAGAGAAGUGGAAUUUAUUGGCUUUGUAAGAAAUUCAACAUAUGAUUGAAUUGUGGUAUUUUUGCAGUCUUCAUAAAAAUUAAAGGGAAUCUUAGCAUAAAGCUAAUUAAAGAAUUC
rnacentral:rRNA from 1 species